rnacentral:rRNA from 1 species
AUUGAACGCUGGCGGCAGGCCUAACACAUGCAAGUCGAGCGAGCGGCGGACGGGUGAGUAAUGUCUGGGAAACUGCCUGAUGGAGGUGGAUAACUACUGGAAACGGUAGCUAAUACCGCAUACCAUCACAGGUGCCCAUAUGGGAUUAGCUAGUGGGGGGGGUAACGGCUCACCUAGGCGACGAUCCCUAGCUGGUCUGAGAGGAUGACCAGCCACACUGGAACUGAGACACGGUCCAGACUCCUACGGGAGGCAGCAGUGGGGAAUAUUGCACAAUGGGCGCAAGCCUGAUGCAGCCAUGCCGCGUGUGUGAAGAAGGCCUUCGGGUUGUAAAGCACUUUCAGCGGGGAGGCGUUACCCGCAGAAGAAGCACCGGCUAACUCCGUGCCAGCCGCCGCGGUAAUAC